rnacentral:lncRNA from 1 species
UGAGAGUGAACUUUGCCGAGCUAGCUAGCUAAUGAUGGCGGAGUGUGGUAGAUGAGUGAGAGGGCUGCGGCGUCGAGGUCCGAGGGGCGGCGAUGUGGGUGGGUUGCUUUGCCUUGUGUUCAGGAAGAUUUUCCUCAUUGCUCUCUGACCAUCACCUGGUUCAUCUGUGAUUUGGCAGGGAAAAGAUAAGGGAUGAGAGGCACGCGUGUGAGCAGGUGGAACAAUGCAAGCGCCUCAGUGACCCGUCAGUCUCCAACAAGGGUUUUGAACUGAAUGCUCAUCAGAUUACCCAGGUUUGGUUUUAUUGUAUGGGUGCUUUGUUCUUUAAUUUGCAGAACAUGUUUGAACAACGUUUCGGCCUUCACGUAUUAGUAUAGUACCCUAACUGUCGCAUAAAAGUGGAAGAAAGUAAGUGCAGUACCAUAUUAUAAGCACUGUCAAGUUAUCUGCAUUGCUCGUUUGGUUAUUGCUUUGAGAGAGUCAUUCUUCACGGAUUGCCCGGUACCAGCCAAUAUUAAACACCCUUGUGUAUCUGAAUUGUCGCACGGUUGUGCUAGAUAGUACUGCAUUGGAUGUUUAUGUUUGAUAAUUGAGUUGUACUUUUCAUACAUAUCUGUUGGUAGAGCCGUUCUUACUUCAUUCAAAGGCUUGAAAUGCUACCGUUGCAAUGUUCUCCACAAGAUAUAGAUAUUUUUUCUGAGGUCAAGUAGGCACAGGGAAGUAUUAGCAUCAAAUAGCCGGUGUGGCAUGUUGUAUGCAUGGAGGGUACACCAUCAAGAUGUCUAUAUGUUGCAAAAGCAAAGAUACAUAUCUUGCUUGGAGAGUUAUCUCUUCAGCUAUGCUUUAAAUUGGCGGGUUACUAGGACUUAAACCUCAAAUUGAAAAGACUCUCGGGACUACUAGGGCAACCUUUUGGUAUAAUGCAUGAACCAACUUGCCAAAAGCACCUUUAACUUGAACAAAUGUUUUUGACAGGAGCAAUUUUUUCUUCCUGUAACAGGAGAUUGGGUUAAUCUCCACCAUCAUCGACAGGGAGAAAUCAACGGAAUCAGUUGUUUUGUGACUGAUUCCAUCGCAUCUCUGGUGUACACGAUUUUGAUUUCUGAACAAUGUCAUUGUGUAGGUACUGUCCAAUUAAACGAAGUGUAUAACUCCAGCCGGCAACAGCGAGAUUAGGAAUUAGUAUUACGCAUUAGUUGCUGACGAUUUUGGUUAAGCUGAUCAAUCUUGUUGUCUGUUGGUGGUGGAGGUCAGGUCCGCCGUCAGCAGGGGUUGUUUUCCUGGGUUAUGAGCUGAUUGCUAGGGAGGUGUACACUAGAGGACAUGUUCACCACUGAUAAUUCAAUGGAGUGUGUAGACUGAUAUAGUACCUACUACCUACUCAAAGGAGGAAAGGUCUAAGUCCCAGGUGAAUCUGUGCUUCUUUUGAACCUUCUCUCUCUAGCAUAUCCCUUUGUUUCACCAAACUGUUGUAGUAUGGGGAUUAUCUUAACAAGAGCACUUUUAUUUUUGUCACAUAUUUAUAUGGGUAAAGUUUUCGCAGUUAAUAAGUUGUUCCAAAGAGUGCUUAGCCUGAUGCUUUGAAGAUCAAGUUUCAGCGUGGCUUACAAUGUUAGAUCAGUUUGAGUUUUUGUACCAAGUUGAAAGCCUAAUGCUCCAAAUGGUACAUUCUAAUUUUAUAACUAUCCCUUAUUUUCUUAAUCUGUAAAUGACAAACCACCCGUAUGCUCUCUAAAUUCAGGGUAAAACUGAACCUAAAUUCAGAUAUAUUUUGAUGUAAUCAUACAUUAGUUGCAACUAGAUUACAUGAGCAUAUCAGACUAUAUGGUCUCAUAGACCUUUAGAAGUUGUUGAUAUUCUCUAUUUUUGGCCACAUCAUUUCUGUAAAAAUAGUAGACUCAAGCUUGUACUGUCAAACAGAGUUGCUAUUGUAUUGAUGCCUUGGAAUGUUGUUAAAUCAAGUAAUGCAGCUGAAUUUGUCUGCUACAUGUUAAUCUUGCUCUUUGAUACUUGUUCACAAAUUGUUUACUUGAUGCUUGAUGGCAACUGCUAUUCUUACAAGACUAUCAAUCUGAGAUCAUAACUCAGAAAAAUGAGAUGUGCACAUAUGUUUAUAUUUUGAUUUACUAAUGGUUUCCUUGAUGUGAAUGUUUUCUUGCAUUAUCUGAUUUCUAAUCUGCAGUAAAUGUGACACAAGUUUAUCAUUUCUCAUUGUAUGGAGUGAACCGAGACAUCAACUAGCUGGACGUGGAAGUGUUGUUCCUGAAGGUACUGAAAUUGGAGCGGACUUCUCAGGCUCAAUUAUCGUUUUUGUACUGAAUAGUUGCAUGCAUAACGAAGGUAGAUGUUUGAACUAUGAAUCUGUUUUGCAGGAGAAGUAUGAGGUUGUGCUUGACAAGAUCUCCAGGCUGGAGGAGAUGGCUUCUCUGUUCAUUUAUAUUCUCCUUGAAGGUAAGUACAGUGUGCAAUACUCUCUAUCUUUUGGAGAAUAACAAAAAACCAACUUCAGUACUCUCUUAAGACAACCAUGUGUAUUAUACAUGGCUCGGACAUGCUGGCGGAUGUCCGCUAAGUAUUUUGGGAAGGGAAUGAACAACUCUUUCAGAAUAGCAAACAAGUGCUACAAUAUAAGGAAUAAGUACAUACAUCUUAUAUAUAUUUUUCACCUUGAAGAGCACAUUACAUUUGUUACGAGUUGAAACAAUUUGUGUAGUUUAUAUUGAAAAGGCAUCAUGAAGGUGUUGUAGAUGUUUUUUUAAAUAAUCUGAUAUCUUUUGAUUUAAAUCACAUAGCACAAACGUAUUUUGCUAAAAAAAAGGGCAACCUGGUGCAUGUAGCUCCCGCUUGCGCAGGGUCCAGGGAAGGGUCCGACCACUUUGGGUCUAUAGUACGCAGCCUUUCCCUACAUUUCUGUAAGAGGCUGUUUCCAGGACUUGAACCCAUGACCUCAUGGUCACAAGGCAGCAGCUUUAUAAAAAUAAUAAUAUUAGAACUAGGCGUAUAUUCUCUUUAGCUACGCCCUCUGUCCCAAAAUAAGUGUCUCGACUUUGUAUGAGACACUUAUUUUGGGAUGGGGGAAGUACAUUAUUAUAGUAGUUGUAAAUACUAAAUAGAAAACUUUCAAGUCUUCCAUUUUUUCCAAACUGUUCAUCGUAUGAGACAUAACAAAAAGCAUUUGAUCCAUUGAUGUGCAAUACCAGACUCUAUACUAACUUAUAUUUUUGCUCCACAUAAUUAAACCUGUCAAUAAUCAAUCUACUCUGUGAAAAUGAAGGCUUGCAACUAUUAUAUGACAACAAUGUUGUUUUUGGUACAUUCUCCUUCAGUUAUGUGCAAUUUGCGUUCGAUUCCAAUUUGCUGGUUUACAAAUCUUAUUUAUUUGUUUCUAUGUCAAAUGAAGUAUGAGUUGCUAUGUAACAUUAAAAAAACUCUGUUUGUCCAAUCCUUUGUUGUGAUGUAUUUGUAGCAUGAGAUGUCGGAUUCAGAGCAACAAGGCGACUAAAUGAUGGGGUUAUGGCAAGGAGGCACACAUAUGGAUGAUCGGUGAGGUCGCUAGAGCUUAUGAGAGGGGAAUGGAUUCUGUCGCCACGAUGUUGAAUGGGACGCGCACCACUUUUUUUGUACCUAUAUUAAAGUAUACUUGUGUGAUGAGCAGCUACAGCUUGUGUUUGCAAAUAUGUUCCUUUUUAGCUUUAACCAUUUUUUGUGAAGAGAAUAUUUUGUAAACCAGUGCAAACUUUGCCUAAAUUACCAUCCAUUUGGCAAAAUGUUAAAGCAGAUUAGAUCAUUCCUCGCAAUAAUCAUUGGAGUUAAGUUUCAAUCCAUUGAUUCUAUAUGUCCUGUUCAGUACCUUUCGUGCCAAGGGGAAGUGUUUGUGUGCACUCCGAAUACUAAUGCUAGAUGUUCUCUUCAAAAGCAAAAUUAAAAUGAUUAUAUUUGGACAUUUG